rnacentral:rRNA from 1 species
UACGGAGGGGGCUAGCGUUGUUCGGAAUUACUGGGCGUAAAGCACACGUAGGCGGCUUUGUAAGUUAGAGGUGAAAGCCCGGGGCUCAACUCCGGAAUUGCCUUUAAGACUGCAUCGCUAGAAUUGUGGAGAGGUAAGUGGAAUUCCGAGUGUAGAGGUGAAAUUCGUAGAUAUUCGGAAGAACACCAGUGGCGAAGGCGACUUACUGGACACAUAUUGACGCUGAGGUGCGAAAGCGUGGGGAGCAACCAGG